rnacentral:lncRNA from 1 species
AUGCUUAAACCUUCUCUUCCCUUUCUAUUCAAUUUCCUUCCUCUCUCCGCCUCCAGAUUCGUUCUCCUCUCACGGGCUUCCAUUUUUUUCCAAGCUGGCUUCUCACACGGGUUGAUGGAACACUACCUGCCAGACCGCUGCUCCUUUAAUACUGCGGGGAUUUGCAGAAUCGGGCGUCCAGAAAGGACUGACUCUGACGCAAGGGGCGAGAGCAAAGGACGGAACUUCCCCGCCAACCUUCGCCUUUGACACAGAGAACCCCUAGCGCCAACGCUCGGUACUCUCCGGCUCAUUCCUGGACCAAAUCAACGCGUGACCGCCGCCGAGGAGGAACCGCGCGCACUUUAAGUGACCGCGGUGUCUGGCUUUGGAGCGCUGUGGAAGGCCCCGGAGGAGUGUGCAACAGCAAGGGGGCGAGGGGAGGGGAAGAAGAAGAGGGACGACGGCUGUGCAUCCGUGUUUGAGGAGCUAGGGUUGGUGGGAUGUUUGUUUUGCUAAAUAAAUAAGAAGAAAUUACCCCUCUCCCCAUCCUGGAUCUAAUGAUGAUAGAUUCCACCCUGCUUCAGGCCACACGCCGGGGAGCCUAACCACGGAAAAUAAUGAGGCUACAUCCCCAUUCGUCUGCAUUAAAGGCGAGCCAGGCACUUUCGAUAGCAAAUAUAUCGAUUCCCUUGCUCGGCCCGUGGUUUCUCCUGCUCUCCGUGAAUAAUUACUGCUCCUUUGGAAAUUCAUAAUAAUUAGGACCCCUAGCCCCACCCCAACCCGCGCUGCUUUUUAAAGGCGCACAUCCUGCAGGGGGACUUGGGGGCCUCAGCCGUGCUCCCCGCAGGUGGGAGAUAGGGCGGGAAUCACUUUCCCCCACUUGGUUUUACUCUUUCGAGACAGUUGGUUCCCCUCCUCCUAUCUCAGUUUCCUUGUCUGUCAAAAGAGGCUUUUACAUUGUUAAAGACACUUACAGCUCUACCUCACUGGAUUCGCUUUUCUGUUUGGGAGGAGGGGUAGAUUUAACAAACUGAGGGAAGAGGGGCAGGGGAGGAGAAAGUGGAGAAAAAGAAGGAUUCUUCUUCUUGGGAACAAAUUCUGUGGCAAACACGUGACGCCGCAACCAGGGAGGGGGCGGGAGAAGGGGUGCUAAUGAGAGGACCGCAAGAAACCUCGGGGACCUAGCGAUCGGAGCUUCAGUUCAUUUCAGUUCAGUUCAGCUUAGUGCUCCCCAAAGAC